rnacentral:tRNA from 1 species
GAGGGUACAGCUUAGUGGUAGAAUGCAUGCCUAACAUGCAUGAGGCCCUUCCUGGGUUCAAUCCCCAGUACUCCCA